UACAUAGGUUGCAAGCGUUAUCCGGAAUUAUUGGGCGUAAAGGAUGCGUAGAUGGUUUGAUAAGUUAUCAGUGGAAAAUCGGGGCUCAACCUCGUGGAAGUUGGUAAUACUGUCAUACUCGAGUGCAGGAGAAGUUAACGGAACUCUAUAUGGAGCGGUAAAAUGUGACGAUAUAUAGAAGAACACCAAUAAGGCGAAGGCAGUUAACUAGUCUGUUACUGACAUUGAGGCAUGAAAGCGUGGGGAGCAAAACGG
rnacentral:rRNA from 1 species